rnacentral:rRNA from 1 species
AUUGAACGCUGGCGGCAGGCCUAACACAUGCAAGUCGAGCGGUUGACGGGAGCUUGCUCCCUGAUUCAGCGGCGGACGGGUGAGUAAUGCCUAGGAGUCUGCCUAUUAGUGGGGGACAACGUUCGAAAGGAACGCUAAUACCGCAUACGUCCUACGGGAGAAAGCAGGGGACCUUCGGGCCUUGCGCUGGUAGAUGAGCCUAGGUCGGAUUAGGUUGUGGGUGGGGUAAUGGCCCACCAAGGCGACGAUCCGUAACUGGUCUGGGAGGAUGAUCAGUCACACUGGAACUGAGAGACGGUCCAGAGUCCUACGGGAGGCAGCAGUGGGGAAUAUUGGACAAUGGGCGAAAGCCUGAUCCAGCCAUGCCGCGUGUGUGAAGAAGGUCUUCGGAUUGUAAAGCACUUUAAGUUGGGAGGAAGGGUUGUAGAUUAAUACUCUGCAAUUUUGACGUUACCGACAGAAUAAGCACCGGCUAACUCUGUGCCAGCCGCCGCGGUAA